AUUGAACGCUGGCGGCAUGCCUUACACAUGCAAGUCGAACGGCAGCGGACCUUCGGGUGCCGGCGAGUGGCGAACGGGUGAGUAAUAUAUCGGAACGUACCUUUCAGUGGGGGAUAACGUAGCGAAAGUUACGCUAAUACCGCAUAUUCUGUGAGCAGGAAAGCAGGGGAUCGCAAGACCUUGCGCUGAUUGAGCGGCCGAUAUCAGAUUAGCUAGUUGGUGAGGUAAAGGCUCACCAAGGCGACGAUCUGUAGCGGGUCUGAGAGGAUGAUCCGCCACACUGGAACUGAGACACGGUCCAGACUCCUACGGGAGGCAGCAGUGGGGAAUUUUGGACAAUGGGCGCAAGCCUGAUCCAGCCAUGCCGCGUGAGUGAAGAAGGCCCUGGUU
rnacentral:rRNA from 1 species